GCGCGGGUGGCCAAGUCCGGUAAGGCGACGGGUUGCAAUCCCGUCAUUCGGGGGUUCAAAUCCCUCCCCGCGCU
rnacentral:tRNA from 2 species